UAACUGUGCCGCCGCCUACU
rnacentral:misc_RNA from 1 species